rnacentral:rRNA from 1 species
UACGGGGGGGGGCAAGCGUUGUUCGGAAUUACUGGGCGUAAAGGGCUCGUAGGUGGCCAACUAAGUCAGACGUGAAAUCCCUCAGCUUAACUGGGGAACUGCGUCUGAUACUGGAUGGCUUGAGUUUGGGAGAGGGAUGCGGAAUUCCAGGUGUAGCGGUGAAAUGCGUAGAUAUCUGGAGGAACACCGGUGGCGAAGGCGGCAUCCUGGACCAACACUGACGUUCAUGUGCGAAAGCGUGGGGAGCAAACAGG